AGCUUUGCAUAGUGGCAGUAUCAUAGCUAAUGAGGUUUAUCUGAGGCGCGAUUAUUGCUAAUUGAAAACUUUUCCCAAUACCCCACUGUGAUGACUUGCAGUAUAGUCAGCAUUGGCAAUUUUUGACAGUCUUUACGGAGA
ensembl:snRNA U4 U4 spliceosomal RNA